CGUAGGUAACCUGCCUGGUAGCGGGGGGUAACUAUUGGAAACGAUAGCUAAUACCGCAUAAGAGUAGAUGUUGCAUGACAUUUGCUUAAAAGGUGCAAUUGCAUCACUACCAGAUGGACCUGCGUUGUAUUAGCUAGUUGGUGGGGUAACGGCUCACCAAGGCGACGAUACAUAGCCGACCUGAGAGGGUGAUCGGCCACACUGGAACUGAGACACGGCCCAG
rnacentral:rRNA from 1 species